UCCAGGGAGGGCUCUCUGGGCCCUGCGUUUCGCCCCGCUCCUCCGACCCCCCUGUUUCCCGUGGAUGGGACCGCCCGAAGGGCGCCUCAUGGAACGCUGGAAGGGACCACUUGGCGCGCGGGGGGGAGGCCGAGGGAGCGGAGCUGCUCCCGCUGGAACACAAUGGGCGGCGGUGGGUGCCGGCGGCGCCGCGCCGGGAGGCAGCGGCAUGUCGGGACAUGUAGUCGCGACAGCGCCGCGUCCUGGGGCUGGGGGCUCACGCAGCGUCCCACUGAAACGCCCGGAGCAGAAGGAUCCCGCCCCGGGUGGGAAGCCCGCAGCCGUGGGAAGUGCCGGGGGGUCCCUGCGGCGGCGGUGCUGAGGCGAAGCUGAAUCACGCACAUGCCGCCGGCAGGUGUCCACGAGCUCCGGGCUGGUGCCAGGCGGGGAGAGGGUCCCGUACCCCUCGGCACCGCAGCGGGAGGGCUCAGGAACCCCGCGCAUUCCUAUUUUAAACAUAGUCUAAAAUCUCUGCCUUGCGUGGUGUUGGACGAUUUGGCAAUGUGCUGUUUCAUUCUUUACAUUAUAUGGAAAAGUUAAACUUCUUCA